rnacentral:lncRNA from 1 species
CAAGGUGGCUGGCCGGCAGGCCAAUGGCGGCCAACGCCACUUCCGGCCGCCCUCCGAGCAUCGCUCUUCGGCAACCCGAAGCCACAGGAUGGAGGAGGGGGAUCCCAGCAAAGAUCCCAGUUUCUGACCUGUAGCAUAGUCCCUCUCUCUGAAGAACUUCCUGUAAUAUUUUUUGCUAGGAAGAGUUUGAAGUUUGAAAUCCCAGAAUGAGGAAAUUCAUCCAGCUUGGAGACUUCCAAUCCCUUCAUUGUGCAGAAGGUUGCUAAUGCUCUCAGGAGAAGCCCUUCACCAAGAGAAUACUUCCACAUAGAGUCCUCUCCAUUGAGACUAAGGAAACAUGCUAUGUCAUGUAGCCACAGCAGCCUUUGCAGCUGUUGAAGGCAGCAAGACUUGCAUGGCAAUCAGAAGACACAGAACCAAGACUCAUAUCCAGUUAUAAGAUGGCAGAUGGGACACACACUCAUCAGGCUUAGUGAGCAGCCAAUCCAGAGGGAACCAUACUCAGCCCUAGGGGCUGGGCGCGGUGGCUCUCGCCUGUAAUCCCAGCACUUUGGGAGGCCAAGGCGGAUGGAUCACCUGAGGUCACGAGUUCAAGACCAGCCUGACCAACAUGGAGAAAUCCCAUCUCUACUAAAAAUACAAAAUUAGCUGGGCAUGGUGGUGCAUGCCUGUAAUCCCAGUUACUCGGGAGGCUGAGGCAGGAGAAUCACUCGAACCCGAGAGGCAGAGGUUGUGGUGAGCUGAGAUUGUGCCAUUGCACUCCAGUCUGGGCAACAAGAGUGAAACUCUGUCUCAAAAAAAAAAAAAAAAAAAAAAAGCCCUAGGAAGAUUUCUUCAAACAGAUGAAGCUAAUGAUAUCCCCAGUGUGUUUGAAUAUAUUGAGAGAUCACACAAUAGGGACACUGUUUAGGGUUGAAUUAAUAGCAAGCAAAUGGGAUGCUAAGGAAAUAUAAAGAAUAAAAGUUCAAAGGGAAAACAAAAUGUUAUUCAAGAAAGUCAAAACAUCCAUCGUAACUUUUUUUUUUUUUGAGACAGAGUCUCGCUCUGUCACCCAGGUUGGAGUGCAGUGGCGUGAUCUCAGCUCACUGCAAGCUCCGCCUCCCAGGCUCACGCCAUUCUCCUGCCUCAGCCUCCCGAGUAGCUGGUACUACAGGUGGCUGCCACCACGCCCGGCUAAUUUUUUGUAAUUUUAGUACAGAUGGGGUUUCACCGUGUUAGCCAGGAUGGUCUCGAUCUCCUGACCUUGUGAUCUGCCUGCCUCAGGCUCCCAAAGUGCUGGGAUUACAGGCGUGAGCCACCGCGCCUGGCUCGUACACUGUUUUAUAUACCACUUGCAGUAUCAUGAUUGUAUAAAUACUAAAUAUCUAUUGAUCUAUCCAAAACUACAACAUAAGUAUUUUUGGAAUAUGGAGGAGUGGGUGCUGAGUAUGCAUGGGAGAAGGGAGGCUGAGGUGAAGGUGGGAGAGAAGGAGACAGUGAAAUAUUCAUCUUCCAAAUUGGAAACUCAAAUAGAUAAUGCCUAAACAUGAAAUAUCAAUAGAAAUGUAAUAUUUAAACAUAUGGUGGUGCUUCUGGGAAAAAGAAAAGAGGAUGGAGAAGACUGUUUGUUUGUAUGUUUGUUUGUUUAAACAAGCAAUAUGGAUGAAAUUACAGGCUAAGCUGCUUUAGCAAAAAGACACCAAAAUACAGAAGCUUAAAUGAGGUAGGUAUAAGUUUCUCUGUUUGAUAUGAUCUCAAGAGAAGCAAUCUGGGUUGGAAAGUCACCUUUAUGAUCCUCAAAACGUAGCUUCCACCUGUGGGACUAAGGCAGCCAUUCUAGUUUUGUCUUCCCAGCCAGAGGGAAGGAGGACAGGGUCAGGAGAGCACAUGUGCAUAACUGAUAGGAACAUGCCCCAGAAGGGCCACACAUCCAUCGGUCAGGAUGUGGGCAUAAGGACCACAGCUGCAUGGGAGGCUGGGAAGCAUAGGGUCUAGCUGUUAGCCACGUGCUCAGCUAAGACACUGGAGCCCUGAUAUUAAAGAAGGUGAGGAAUGAUGCUAGUGCUCAACCAGCAGUCUCUGUCACAUCAGCUUUGCAGAAUCAUUUGAUUCUUUCAACUAGGUGCAUAUACAACUUCAAUACAAAUGAAAACUAAAUAUAAGACAUGGUUCUUAAAAAUCAUCUUUUGUACAAUUGAGGACACAAUCAAAACCCAGACACCAGGGUCCUGAAGCAGAAUGCAGGCAUCCACAGAAGAGGCGGUGCUGAUGGACUGGACCCCAGAGAGUCCACACCUGCUUGGUGCCAUACCUUGGGUCCCUCCAGAUCAGGAUGCUCCCAGCAACUUUUCUAGGAUGGUUAUACUGCACAUGCUGCAAAGAUGAGUGGGCAUCCCUGCAAGCCUAUGGUUUUAGAGUAAAUGGUUCCAAAAGAAGGUAUGAAGCAGACCCAUAGAUGGGGAUUAGUGCAUAGGAGGUUUAUUGGGGAGUACUCUUGGGAUCAACAUCUGUGAGCAACGAGAAAGAAGCAGGAUUGAGCAGGGAAGAAGGUGGGUGUUCUGGAGCUGAGAUCAAACUUCAGAAGUGUUGUGGCAAGGGGGCCCAGUAUUGGUGAGUCUUUCAAUGUGACUGCUCCAAGAACUCACAGCUUGGGGGUGUCAUCUCAGGUGAAGUUGUUGUGUUCAGCCUGGGCAAUUCUGGAGAGGCCUGACAAGUGAGGCCUGCCCCUGCAGAACUCCUGGCAGCUCAGGGAACACAUUUUUCAUUCCUGAGAUGUUGCUUCACAGCAUCUACUCUGUGUGGAUCCAAGGAGCUGCCUCUGGGUCUCUGGGAAAUCAGUCGUUUGAAUUUGGAUUCCAGCGUGUGGCUCUUACAUUUCUUUUUAGGAGAAAUCCAAUAGUGGUGCUCUCAUUAUGAUGACAGAGGGGCUGGGAGGUGCCAGGGGCCCAGCAGGGAAGUGGCAGGAGUACAGCAGCAUACUGUGUAACCUGGGCUAGGUUUUUACUCAAGGUGGCUUAGGACAGCUUUUGAAGAUUACAGGGAGAAGAACCUAAAAUAUAGGCAAACCAGAUGAUAACUACCCUGCUUUCAUCUGUGCCUCAGGGUGAUUAGUCAGCAUUUGUUGGUUAACAUGUCAAGAACCCUGUGAUUUUGUCAAAUAUAUAUUUGGUCUUUGACUCCAUUUUCUGACAUACAACUCCUAAAAUCCUUAUAAUCUCCAAAGUGAUAGUGUCUUUUUGUAUGCUUAUGAGUUGACUAGUGGCUGACAGCCUCUAUGUAGCUUCAGGACAGGGACUGGUCACAGGAAAGACCAAGGCAGCAUUAGAGGGUCGGGACUCUUAGCCCCCUACUCCCACCUCCAGGAACCAGAGAGGGUGGAAAGGUUGUUGACCACCAAUGGCCAAUGAUGUAAUCAAUCCUGCCUACAGAAUGAAGCCUCCAUAAAAACCCAAAAGGACAGGGUUUGGAGAGCUUCUGCAUAGCUGAACACACGGAGCUUCCUAGAGGGUGGCACACCCGGAGAGGGCAUGGAAGCUCCCUACCCCUUCCCCCGUAUCUCCCUCUAAGCAUCUCUUCAUCUAUAUCCUUUGUAAUACCCUUUAUAAUAAACCAGUAAACCUAUGUUUCCCUGACUUCUGUGAGCCACUCUAGUAAAUUAAUCAAACCCAAAGAGUGGGUGGUGGGAGCCCCAAUUUGAAGUCAGUUGGGCAGAUGUUCCAGGGGCCCCAACUUGUGACUGGUGUCUGAAAGGGAGAUCAGUUUAGGGUACUGAGCCCUUAACCUGUGGGAUCUGAG